GGUGAUUUUCCAUCGGCACUUCUGCUUGUAUUUGAGUACCAGGCACCAGCUAACGUUUUCUGGUGACUUUAGGCUGGGCAGACACUGGAAGCGCUGCCUGCAGCAGCCGCAGCCGAGCUCUGUGUCUGCCAGAGGAAGAAAUACGGCGCCUGGAGGAGCAGGAGGAGGAGACCUUGUGUGACUUGGCGUGUUCUCGAGGGCCGUUCCUCACAGACUUGCCACUGACAGACGUUUCAGCAUUACAGAGCCUGUUGGUGCGGAGGAGGUCCCGAUUACGGCACAGUCAUUAAAGAGCCCAGAGACCGAAGGGGGAAAUGGAGGAGAGGUUUGAACAGCGUUGCAAAGGAAUGAAUGAAGCUCGCAGGAGAAGAGGCUGUGCACUUCAAAGUGCGUGCGGAUGCAAAGCGCGGUGACAAACCAAAGACGGCAGUGGCACCUGGAGAUGCAGCACAGCCCUCUCCAGCAGCAGCAAGGAGCAUUUCUUUGUCUUUCUGGGGGAAGCUGCUCGUGUCAUGGAUGCAGUCUCUGUCCUUGCGAUGGAACAGGUUUCUCUGGUGCCCGGCCCUUGGUGCCAGAGGUAUCACGGUGUGAACUUCCUUCUAACGGUGAGAUGAAUGCAGAGGUGGUUCACUCAGGAUGGCUGUGAAUUAAAGCUCAAGUUAGGGUGGUUUCCAAUGUCAAACACUGACCUUGGUGACCCAGAUGACAUCAAAUGUCUCCUGAAUUGCUAAUUCUGGAAGUAGAAGGUGUUGUGUACGGCAGUUUCUGAGUGCUCAACUAGUUUUCGAUGAUAGCAAACAGUGUUUUCCCCCUCUCUGCCCUUCCCUGCCCCAGAUGCUA